AAGAGAGUGAGGGGAGAGUCUGGGAGAAGGAAAGAGUUGACGGAGUAGAGAAGCAGAGGAGUGAUCAGCACAGAACAACCUCCUGCCGCAAACUGGAUUUACGAACCAAAAUCACCGCCUGCUGCCAGAGCCUCACUGGAUCGGGAAACCCAGGUGGAGCUCACGGUUGACCAUACAACAGAAGCCUCCGCAGGUCUUGGCUCAGUGCCCUAUCUGUCCAAGUUACUUCCCGUUGUCCUGGCCUUGACCAUGGAAGGCAAAGAUGAAAUCAGUGACACAGACAGUGGGAUCAUACUACAGUCAGGCCAGGUAAGCCCCGUGUCACCCCUGAAGGACCUGACCAAGGCAGUGCACAAGCAGCAGAAGGCACUGGAGGCACACCUGGAGGCCUGCCUGCAGGAGCUGAGAAAACUCUGCCUGCGUGAGGCGGAGCUAACUGGGAUGCUGCCACAGGAGUACCCUCUGAAACCAGGAGAAAAGCCCCCGAAGGUGCGUCAGAGGAUUGGCACUGCCUUCAAACUGGAUGAGAAGACCAUUGUCUCACAAGGAGCAGACCCUCUGAGCAGGCUGGAGAGAGACCUGUCUCUGCAGAUGCAAAUUGUGCAGGCUGCUCAUCACCUCUUCAGGGAGGAGAACAUUAGCAAGCAAAUCAAGAAGCGGAGGAAGAGUGCUGUGCUGAAGGAGGAGAGGAAGAUGAAAGAGCUGGAGAAUGCCCUCAGUGAAUGCCGUCUAAUGGCCGGACAGAAGCCCAUGCCCAAGGCCAGCACCACAACCGCUGAGGAGCUGAGCAUAUCAGAUGAUCGCUCCUUGUUGGACACCAACCUGCAGGAAGAAGAGUACUGCCACGCUCCAAAUCAUCAGGCUGUCCCAGAACUCCUGGUGCCAGUUGAACCAGGCACCCCCAACGGCACCCUGGCUCUGCCCUCCUGUUUGGCCCAUCCCAAGAAACACAAGGGGCCACAGCCCACGUGCUGUGAAAUAGCAGGGCUGGAACGCACGCCUAUCCAGAACAGCCCGUGGAAAGAGACCAGCCUUGAUAAGCCAUAUGAGAAGCCCAAGAAGCCAUCUUUGGAGUCUAGCAAUGUAUCAAGAGUGGAGGUGUGCCAGGACUACGUGGAACCCCGUGGAAGAAGCAUGCUACCAAGGAGGCGCCCUACCUACUACACCAUCACUGUCCCCAGCUACUGCUUUCCCCUGCCUAAGCCCAGCGUGGUCUCCAACCCCACCUAUCACUCCAGCUCUGAGGACAGCAACUCAGACGUCUCCAGCAUUUCAUAUGCCACCUCUCCUGGCAGCAGCAGCCCUGACAUCUUCCUGAGGCCAGUGCCCCCACCAGCUAUUGAGCAGCCCUCUCCAACAUUAAGGGGCCAGAUUGUUGACAGGCCUGGAGCAGUGUAUUACUACCAGACCUCCCAGCAGCUACUGCUGCCUCCUUGCUGCAUCCCAACCGUGGAGUAUGUAUCUGAGAGCCGCAUGGUGGCUGCAAGGGAGUUCAGCUGCAGCCGCCCUUCCCUGGGCGCCGGUGGGCCACCUCUGUUUUCCUAUGAGGAGGACAGGGUGCCCAUGUGCUACCAAAGACUGGUGCCCUCCCAGAGCAGGAUCGUACGCACCCCAUCCCUCAAGGACUAUGCUACAGCCAGAGGCAGGACACUUUCCAAAUCAGCUGUGACGGAGGAGCUGAAGUCAUGGCAUGAACGCACCAAGCUGAGGAACUCGCGGCCCCAUUCGCUGGACAGGCAGGGGACUUUUCGAAUGUGCAGUGGGCCAGGCAGGGAGCUGUAUGCCUUGCGAUCCCCCGUGCAGCGAGUUCAGGUCCCUCAGAUCCAUAUCCUGAAGCGGUCCCCUGAGGGAGCCCCUGUGCAAGUCUACAUGCCUGAAAAUGGUGAGAUCAUCACUCAAGUCUAGAGCCAACACUGCAUCUGCUGCCAUCCUGCCUAGCUGACUGCCUUCCUUCCCAGACUUCCUGCCUGAGAGAGUGCCAGGCAGUCCGAGGCACCGAGCUCCUCAGUCUGCCACCCUCUAAGCUUCUUGGGAUGAUCAGACAGCCAUCUGCAAGCCAUAUAUUUGUACUGAGACAGAGGCAUGGGCACUUCCUGCCUUUGUCCCCCAUUACCCCUGGAGGACACCACUGUGGGAACAGAGUCCAGACCACACUAAUCCCGACUGUGUCCUUCAAACAUAGCUGUCAUCUGAAAGACCUGGAUUCAUUUUGGCAUAUUGUUACCCUCUCUGCUCCUCUUUGGACGGAGGGGCAAACGGAGAACUGUUGUGUACGCUCCCCACCGUGUCUUCUUUUCACUCUCAUCCUAUUUAUUUCUCUAUCUGUAGAGAAGCGUGAGAAGUGAGCUCGCUUUGGACACAGUGUCCUUUCUGUAUCUUUUGGGGAAGGAUUGAUCCAGGAACAGUGUGCGGGCAAGACAAGUUUUGAAGCCUUCAUUUGGAUCUCAGAGGCAAAGGGACCCACUAGAUUUCUUAGCAGAGUAGCAGAGAGCAAGUUGUGCACAUGGUGACAAAGACCUUUGCUUUGGAAGGACAAGGGGCAACAGGUCCAUCUGAUCCCUGGGUAAUGAUUGGCUACAAAUGCAGGAGACUGCACUAAAUGGCUCCAGAGGCUUUCCUGGUAUUUUUCCCCAAGGAGACCACUGUAUUUGGUUUGUGGAUGUGUUUCAGCUGAUAAGAUUAUCAGCAGUUUUGCACUGAGACCUUGCAAACAUUUCCCUGGUGAUGGCAUUUUGCUAGGACAUAGGCUGCUGCCCAAAUGGUACAGGAUCAUUUCAAGUGUGCCAGGAUUCGGGCAAGUGCUGAUAAAUUCUCCCUCUUAAUUGAUUCUGCAAAGCAACUGCUAGUUUGCAGAGCAUGGUGCAAACAGUGCAUCCCUGCAGAAUGCAGCAGGAGUGAGCCAGCCUGUCAGUAUGUCUGCAUGUAGGGGGAAUGAAAGGAAAAAAGAGCUGGCUGCUAGUUUCUCUGCACUCCUACGAACGACUCCAACUCUCUCACUGAAGAGGAGCCAUGAAUCUUGCCAUCUUCCAAGGCUUUAUAUAUUCUUUUCAGUUUUAUGGAAAAAUGUCUUUACGACCAGGAUACCUACCAAGCUUUGUGGGCAGCAGCUGAUAGUAGAUGAAGUUUACAAUUCCACUUUAUCUAGGUACUUGCAUCAGUCCCAGCAAAGCCGGUGCCUUCCGAGACUUUGUGGAUUUAACCUCAGAAUACCCCUGGGGGACAAGAAAAUGGUAUCCUCACUUUACACAUGUGGAACCAAGGCAGAAAGUAGUUGAGAUGACUUGAUUAAGGUUGUGCAAGAAGAUCUGUUGUGGAGUCAAAAACAGAACCCUGUUCUGUCAACUACCUGCCGAGUGCCUUAGCCGCAAGACCAUCCCUAAAAGGGAAAUGCACCGUGAGCAGAGGAAAUGGGGUUGUUUCUGUGUCUUUGAGUAAUCCAGAAAGCUGCUGACUUUGCUCACAGUGGCUUUUCAUAGUGCUGGCAAGAAGUCUAAGCUUCUGAGAUCCAAUGGACAACUGGCAUUUGCUACCUUUGUGGCUGGUCAGGUGCUUUUCACUAGGACUGGUUUACCAUGGAGUGUCAAAAGCAUCUAAUAGAAACAUGCCCCGGGUUUAAUAAGCCAGUUGUCUUGGAGCAGCCAGCUGGGCUCUUCCUUGCAACUUCUCCAGAUGUCCAUGAGCAUUAAUCACCUAGGUCAGUGUUUCCUGAACUCUGGGGCAGGCCCCACAGGCAGGAGGAGGGGAAAGGGCUUGGGGAGGGGGUGAAUGUUCCUAUAAAGGUGCAUGCAAAUCAUGGUGACAAUCAGCUGUGUCCUUCCCCAUUCUUCAGCUACUCUUAUGACCCCCUACUUCAGCCAGCAAUGCCCCUUCCCUUUGCUGCCAGGUCUCAUGGCCAAUUGCUGCCAAUUUCCCCCACCGGUGAGGGGCAUCAGCAGCAGUUUGGAACUGGUGGCAAAGGAAACAGCAGCAAGAGAAGUGGUGGCUGCAGCUGAAAUAGGGAGGUGAGAGGUCUGGGAAACACUGAGGCAGGGUAUAGAUGGAUGUAACAACUUCAGUAUCAAAGGAUACCAGGAUAAGCUGUUAUCCUGCUACUGCUACACUUGCAUAAUUCCGCAGUGAGUUUAACCCUGUUUCAUUCAAGGUCAAAGUCAAGGUAAUUUAAUGUAAUUAUAUCACUACAGGAUCAUGCAGCUGUGAAAGUGACAGUAUAAUAGCUGAUACACACUUCAAAGCAGCAGCCCCCCUUCCUUUUUAAAGCAGGUAAAAGAUGUAUUUGCCCACACCCCUAAACA